CCCCCCUUACGCUGGAUCCCAUGGAAAACAUGGGAGAUGGGAGGAGAGGGGGAGAGGGCUGAAGGGAGAAGAAAAAGAAGCUAUCUGUAAUUCCAGUCUGAACAUGACCACUAUGAACUCCACCCUUUUGAAGACCAAACUUGGGAAUGGCAUGAUCAUCGAACGAUGGGUUUGAACCAUCAUGUAUUCCGUAUGGUCUAUUUGAUGUUAUUACUGUUAUGUUCAUAUAUUUAAGCUCAGCAAAAUCAUUUACAGAUUCGCAAUCAUUGUUGUUGCGCAUGCUGGAUAUAGCUACACCAGAAGUAAAGGAAUCCCACAUAAAGUAGCUCUGCAUUAGGGCGGCAGGAGAAAAAACAUAAGGUGUGGAUGUGUCAUAAGGAAAAUGGCGAAGUUUGUAUGUGAUCCUAUUAGCAUGAUGGUUGUAGGGCCUGCUGAUAUUGUAUCGAU